rnacentral:rRNA from 1 species
AGUCAAUAGAUACCCCGGUAGUCCCAGCUGUAAACGAUGCGCGUUAGGUGUAUCGGUGACCACGAGUCACCGAGGUGCCGAAAGGGAAACCGUGAAACGUGCCGCCUGGGAAGUACGGUCGCAAGGCUGAAACUUAAAGGAAUUGGCGGGGGAGGCACCACAACAGGUGGAGCCUGCGGUUAAAUCGGACUCAACGCCGGGAAGCUCACCGGAUAAGACAGCUGAAUGAUAGCCGGGUUGAAGACUCUGCUUGACUAGCUGAGAGGAGGUGCAUGGCCGUCGUCAGUUCGUACUGUGAAGCAUCCUG